CAUUGAUCCUGACGGUGAAUAACCCGGUGCAUACGACGGAGGAGCUGGCGGAGAAGUCACCGGAGAAGUUGCCGGAGAAACAGGGGAAGAUGAUUUAGGUGACAUUGAUCCCGGCGGUGAAGAACCCGGUGCAUACGACGGAGGAGCUGGCGGAGAAGUUGCCGGAGAACCAGCGGAGGAAGAUUUAGGUGGCAUUGAACCCGGCGGAGAAGUCACCGGAGAAGACGACGGAGAACCAGGGGAAGAUGAUUUAGGUGACAUUGAUCCCGGCGGAGAAGAUGACGGAGAACCAGGGAAUGAGGAUUUAGGUGGCAUUGAUCCCGGCGGAGAAGUCAUCGGAGCAGAGGACGGAGAACCAGGGGAAGAGGAUUUAGGUGGCAUAGGUGCGGGUGGAGAAGUCGACGGAGACAUAUGAGAGGAAGAUUUAGGUGCCAUUGAACCUGGUGGAGAAGUUGCCGGAGACUUAGCGGAGGAUGAUUUAGGUGGCAUUGAUCCCGGCGGAGAAGUCACUGGAGAAGAAGACGGAGAAACAGGGGAAGAUGAUUUAGGUGGUGUAUGUGCCGGUGGAGACGUCGCCGGAGAAACAGGGGAUGAAGAUGAUUUAGGUGGCAUUGUUCCCGGUGGAGAAGUCACCGGAGAAACAGGGGAAGUAGAUUUAGGUGGCAUAGGUGCCGGUGGAGAAGUCGCCGGAGAAACAUGGGAAGAAGACUUAGGUGGCAUUGAUCCCGGCGGAGAAGUCACCGGAGCAGAAGACGGAGAAACAGGGGAAGAAGAUUUAGGUGGCGUAGGUGCGGGUGGAGAAGUCGCCGGAGAAACAGGGGAAGAGGAUUUAG
rnacentral:lncRNA from 1 species